UACGGGGGGGGCAAGCGUUGUUCGGAAUUACUGGGCGUAAAGGGCUCGUAGGCGGCCAACUAAGUCAGACGUGAAAUCCCUCGGCUUAACCGGGGAACUGCGUCUGAUACUGGAUGGCUUGAGUUUGGGAGAGGGAUGCGGAAUUCCAGGUGUAGCGGUGAAAUGCGUAGAUAUCGAGAGGAACACCUGCGGCGAAGGCGGGUUGCUGGGCUGACACUGACGCUGAGGCGCGAAAGCUAGGGGAGCGAACGGG
rnacentral:rRNA from 1 species